rnacentral:rRNA from 1 species
UACGGGGGGGGUAAGCGUUGUUCGGAAUUACUGGGCGUAAAGGGCUCGUAGGCGGCCAACUAAGUCAGACGUGAAAUCCCUCAGCUUAACUGGGGAACUGCGUCUGAUACUGGAUGGCUUGGAUUCGGGAGAGGAAUGCGGAAUUCCAGGUGUAGCGGUGAAAUGCGUAGAUAUCUGGAGGAACAUCAGUUGCGAAGGCGGCUCUCUGGACCAGCACUGACACUGAGGCACGAAAGCGUGGGGAGCAAACAGG